AUGCUUGUCCCAGCUUCCCCUCCUCCCCGCCCCAAGCCUCGCUCGUGCACCUACCCAGCCACCAGCCACCAUGUCCGCAUCUUCUUCCUUCGCACUUCCCGUCCCCGAAGACUUCCUUCUCCCUCUCAUCCCAUGCCUUCUGUGCGGCGAACCGGCGAUGAGAUCGUCACCAAUGUAGCAAGGAGCGGCGAGUAUGCUGGUCAACGCUCCUACAAGUGCAUCCGCCAUGAUUCACGGCAUUGCCGCCACUUCGAGUUCCAGAGGGCAUACCUGCGGAGGAUGAGUGCGGCCCAGAUCGCUCGUGCUCACCAGCAGGCCUACGGCUACACAGGCGGCCAGGAGCUUGGUGUUCCUGCUUCACAGCACGUCCAGCAGGCCAACUACGCCGUGAACGCACCUGCCCCAACUGGCCAGCCGCCCCGCAGCCUGAGGCAGGGGCUGUGA
rnacentral:rRNA from 1 species